CGUGCAGGCGGUCGGGUAAGUCAGAUGUGAAAUCCCUCCGCUUAACGGAGGAAGUGCAUUUGAAACUGUUCGGCUAGAGUACGGGAGAGGAGAGUGGAAUUCCCGGUGUAGAGGUGAAAUUCGUAGAUAUCGGGAGGAACACCAGUGGCGAAGGCGGCUCUCUGGUCCGAUACUGACGCUGAGAUGCGAAAGCGUGGGGAGCAAACAGGAUUAGAUACCCUGGUAGUCCACGCCGUAAACGAUGGGCACUAGGUGUAGGAGGUAUUGACCCCUUCUGUGCCGAAGCUAACGCAUUAAGUGCCCCCGCCUGGGGAGUACGGCCGCAAGGCUAAA
rnacentral:rRNA from 1 species